AUUGAACGCUGGCGGCAGGCCUAACACAUGCAAGUCGAGCGGAUGAAGGGAGCUUGCUCCUGGAUUCAGCGGCGGACGGGUGAGUAAUGCCUAGGAAUCUGCCUGGUAGUGGGGGAUAACGUCCGGAAACGGGCGCUAAUACCGCAUACGUCCUGAGGGAGAAAGUGGGGGAUCUUCGGACCUCACGCUAUCAGAUGAGCCUAGGUCGGAUUAGCUAGUUGGGGGGGUAAAGGCCUACCAAGGCGACGAUCCGGAACUGGUCUGAGAGGAUGAUCAGGCACACUGGAACUGAGACACGGUCCAGACUCCUAGGGGAGGCAGCAGUGGGGAAUAUUGGACAAUGGGCGAAAGCCUGAUCCAGCCAUGCCGCGUGUGUGAAGAAGGUCUUCGGAUUGUAAAGCACUUUAAGUUGGGAGGAAGGGCAGUAAGUUAAUACCUUGCUGUUUUGACGUUACCAACAGAAUAAGCACCGGCUAACUUCGUG
rnacentral:rRNA from 1 species